rnacentral:lncRNA from 1 species
AAUGUACUUUGAUUGAAAAGAAAGGGAAAAAAUCCUCUUUCCCCUUCGAUCAACCAGUGUUGCACGUUGCAGUUUUUUCUUAUCUUGGUAUUACCUGGAGUAGCAGAAAUGCUGAGUGACAGCCUGAAGCAGUGAUGGAGCACCUGGGGGGAAGGCAGGGCCAGCCCAGGGCAGCUCAGGUGCAUGCAGUGUGCUGAGUGAUGGAAGGGCUGCAGCCAGGAUCCACCCCUUCCCAGCCCUCAUUCUGGGGUUGGCAGUGGAGGUGAGGGGAUCUUGCUGGAGAUCCCUGCAUACCUGAGGCCUUCUAAAGCCCCAGGGAAGCAGCAGUGAUGUGGACAUACCGUUCCAGGUGGGAUUAUUGUCCUCACGGUCUGGGGCUCCUGGAAUUACCUUUGCCCAAAGCAAAGCCUCCACCUGCGUGCUUGCAAGCCAUUAAUGCCUAACUAAAUGACACCGCUGGAGCCAGGAAUGAAGGUCAGCUGUGUAGAGGUGAAUGGAGCUAUUUCUCCUGUGCAGUGAUGCUGUGCCACCCGAGCUCCUGCGUAACGCUGAAGCGCAGUGAUGGGGACUGUCCCGUCCAGCAGACAGCAAUGGAUACAUAAAUAUGAGCACAGAGCUGCUGUGUUGGCUCCCCAGGACCACCGUACCCAUUAUGCUGCAGUUUGACCUCCGGCCAGGCACUUGUAAAUGGAGAAACUUCAGAAAUAAAUGAUGUUUUCUCCCCAGCCCCUCCUUCAGCCUCCUGCCUGCUCUCAGUGAAGGAUUGCUGCUGCAAACAGAGCAGUCUGAAUUAAGCUGUCCUGGCGGACCGCACAGAUAGCCCACAGGCCAGAGGUUAAGUGCUCCUGCAACAAAGCACAGGCUGCUCAUGGGUCACUGAGAACAGAUGCCAAACAACGAGUUACGACUGCUCUGGAGGCACCCAGACAGAAAGGUUCCUGCCUGCUGCUGCCAACCUCAGCCUCUGCACCAACCUUGGGAUCUGCAGUUUGCUCCCAGAAGCAUCGAUGCUCAGUGCUAAACCAGCACUGCUGGAACAAAGGAGGUUGGCAAAAUAAAUCUGCCCACGUACCAUCCACCUACUGUUGGGCACAGAACGGUUUCCAUACACAUUAUCCCGCUGCACAACCUCAGCAGAGCAAUUAUUAAUGAGCAGAGAGACAAAGUCAUCCCACAC